rnacentral:rRNA from 1 species
UAUAGGGCGAAUUGAAUUAGCAGCCGCCAAUGCGGCCAUACUCCUACGGGUGGGAGCAGUAUGGAACCUGGCCAAUGCCCGCAAGGGCCAUCCACCCAUGGCGCGUGCAGGAAGACGGCCCUAUGGGUCUAAACUGCUUUUACACCAGAGAAAACCCCUCUACGUGUAGUUGGCUCAUAGUAUGGUGAGAAUAAGCAUCGCCCAGCUUCGUGCCAGCAGACGCGGUAAGACGAAGGAUGCAAGCGUUAUCCGGAUUCAUUGGGUUUAAAGGGAGCAUAGAUGGAUGAUAAGUCAACGGUGAAAUCUCCGAAUUUAAAUCGGAAAUCGCCAUUGAAACUGUUGGUCUUGGGCAUAGGGGCUGUUGGCCGAAUAUAACAUGUAGUUUGAAAUACAUAGAGAUGUCAUAGAACACCGAUUGCCAAGCCAGCUGCCGAAACUAUAAUCACACUGAGGCUCG